GACACAAAACCCGGAAGGACCCCGCCGAAGGUUUUCUCCGGUUCGGGAGAGAGACGGAGUCCCGCUCUGUCACGCAGGCUGCCAGGCUGGCGUACAGUGGCGCAAUCUCAGCUCGCUGCAACCUCCACCUCCUGGGUUCAAGCGAUUUUCUUGCCUCUGCCUCCUGAGUAGCUGGGAUUACUGGCACACACCACCAUGCACAGUUCCUUGUUCAAAAUGCCAAGAACCUGGAUGACUCAUAGUCAAGACCCUCCACCAGUAACAUAUAUUGGCGAGCCAGCCAGGAGCUUGGAACCCUCGGUGGACAGUGCCUAAGCACAGAGGCAACCACAGGUUUCUAACAGGGCCACUCUCUGGUGAAACUGAAAGGUUUCUGUGUGAAAGUGCCUGACCACCACUGCCCAAUUCAGUUGCAGGAAUUUAGCCAAUUCAGAGGUCUUGUUCUCCAUAAUUUGGAAUUUUCCUUCGGAUUUGAUCAAGUUGGAUAGAGUUGGUCAAACCCAAUGGGAAAAAGAUGAAAACAACAAGAAACAGAAACAAACAGCAACAACAACAACAACAAAAACA
rnacentral:lncRNA from 10 species